AGAGUUUGAUCAUGGCUCAGAUUGAACGCUGGCGGCAGGCCUAACACAUGCAAGUCGAACGGUAACAGGAAGAAGCUUGCUUCUUUGCUGACGAGUGGCGGACGGGUGAGUAAUGUCUGGGAAACUGCCUGAUGGAGGGGGAUAACUACUGGAAACGGUAGCUAAUACCGCAUAACGUCGCAAGACCAAAGAGGGGGACCUUCGGGCCUCUUGCCAUCGGAUGUGCCCAGAUGGGAUUAGCUUGUUGGUGGGGUAACGGCUCACCAAGGCGACGAUCCCUAGCUGGUCUGAGAGGAUGACCAGCCACACUGGAACUGAGACACGGUCCAGACUCCUACGGGAGGCAGCAGUGGGGAAUAUUGCACAAUGGGCGCAAGCCUGAUGCAGCGACGCCGCGUGCGGGAUGACGGCCUUCGGGUUGUAAACCGCUUUUGACUGGGAGCAAGCCCUUCGGGGUGAGUGUACCUUUCGAAUAAGCACCGGCUAACUACGUGCCAGCAGCCGCGGUAAUACGUAGGGUGCAAGCGUUAUCCGGAAUUAUUGGGCGUAAAGGGCUCGUAGGCGGUUCGUCGCGUCCGGUGUGAAAGUCCAUCGCUUAACGGUGGAUCCGCGCCGGGUACGGGCGGGCUUGAGUGCGGUAGGGGAGACUGGAAUUCCCGGUGUAACGGUGGAAUGUGUAGAUAUCGGGAAGAACACCAAUGGCGAAGGCAGGUCUCUGGGCCGUCACUGACGCUGAGGAGCGAAAGCGUGGGGAGCGAACAGGAUUAGAUACCCUGGUAGUCCACGCCGUAAACGGUGGAUGCUGGAUGUGGGGCCCGUUCCACGGGUUCCGUGUCGGAGCUAACGCGUUAAGCAUCCCGCCUGGGGAGUACGGCCGCAAGGCUAAAACUCAAAGAAAUUGACGGGGGCCCGCACAAGCGGCGGAGCAUGCGGAUUAAUUCGAUGCAACGCGAAGAACCUUACCUGGGCUUGACAUGUUCCCGACGGUCGUAGAGAUACGGCUUCCCUUCGGGGCGGGUUCACAGGUGGUGCAU
rnacentral:rRNA from 1 species